rnacentral:rRNA from 1 species
UGGCGGCGUGCCUAACACAUGCAAGUCGAGCGGGGACGAUGCGACGGAGCUGAAGUUUUCGGAUGGAAGCAAAGAUGUAUGUUCUAGCGGCGGACGGGUGAGUAACGCGUGAGCAACCUGUCCCUUACAGGGGGAUAACACAGCGAAAGUUGUACUAAUACCGCAUGAGACCACGGUGGGACAUCCCACAGGGGUCAAAGGAGCAAUCCGGUAAGGGGUGGGCUCGCGUCCGAUUAGAUAGUUGGUGAGGUAACGGCCCACCAAGUCGACGAUCGGUAGCCGACCUGAGAGGGUGAUCGGCCACAUUGGGACUGAGACACGGCCCAAACUCCUACGGGAGGCAGCAGUGGGGAAUAUUGGGCAAUGGGGGAAACCCUGACCCAGCAACGCCGCGUGAGGGAAGAAGGUUUUCGGAUCGUAAACCUCUGUCCUUGGUGAAGAGUGAGAGACGGUAGCCAAGGAGGAAGCCCCGGCUAACUACGUGCC